rnacentral:lncRNA from 1 species
CCUUAGCAACUAAGCAAGUAACAUUUUUCAUCUUCCCUUAUCAAUAUUCAGUUAACAUUCAAUAGCUUCUUUGCUAUGCUCCAUGGUUUUAUCGCCUGCAAAAUGGAGGUCCGCAGGGAUCACAGAGAAGCAAAGAUAUCUGAGAAAAGCCUAAAGAAGCAUGUUUCCCAGGUGGAGAUUCUCAAUGCUACCUCUCCAUCUCUCUCCACUUUGACCUCAUUACCUCCUGUCUGGGAUGCUCUCUCCACCUCAUGCCUGGCCUUGCCCUUACUUAUAUCAGCCUCUGUGGAAAAGAAUAGAGGUUCCUAUUGCUGAGGUACCACACUCUGGUAUAGGAGACACCUUUGUCAAGGAGAACCAACAUUCCAGCCCCAUAGGGCUUCUGUUCUAUAUUUAUCUCCAGAAGACUCCUGAUUUUCAUUACUUCUUG